GACGAACGCUGGCGGCGUGCUUAACACAUGCAAGUCGAACGGAAAGGCCCUGCUUUUGUGGGGUGCUCGAGUGGCGAACGGGUGAGUAACACGUGAGUAACCUGCCCUUGACUUUGGGAUAACUUCAGGAAACUGGGGCUAAUACCGGAUAGGAGCUCCUGCUGCAUGGUGGGGGUUGGAAAGUUUCGGCGGUUGGGGAUGGACUCGCGGCUUAUCAGCUUGUUGGUGGGGUAGGGGCUUACCAAGGCUUUGACGGGUAGCCGGCCUGGGAGGGUGACCGGCCACAGAGGGACUGAGGUAGGACCAGGACUCAUACGGGGGGAAGGAGUGGGAGAUAGUGCACGAUGGGCGGAAGGCUGAUGCAGCAACGCCGCGUGCGGAAGACGGCCUUCGGGUUGUGAACCGCUUUCGCCUGUGACGAAGCGUGAGUGACGGUAAUGAGUAAAGAAGCACCGGCUAACUACGUG
rnacentral:rRNA from 1 species